rnacentral:rRNA from 1 species
AUUCCAGCUCCAAUAGCGUAUAUUAAAGUUGUUGUGGUUAAAAAGCUCGUAGUUGGAUCUCGGCGGUCUGAGGGCGGUGGUCUUCAGAGAUCUACUGCCCUAUAGACCGUAGUUUUGCCAGAGGUCUCAGGGUGCUCUUAACCGAGUGUCUUGCGAUGCUGGCAGGUUUACUUUGAAAAAAUUAGAGUGCUCAAAGCAGGCUUUUACGCCUGAAUAUUCGUGCAUGGAAUAAUAGAAUAGGACUGGUUCCAUUUUAUUGGUUAUUGGGCUAGUAAUGAUUAAUAGGGACAGUUGGGGGCAUUAGUAUUUAAUUGUCAGAGGUGAAAUUCUUGGAUUUAUGAAAGAUGAACUCAUGCGAAAGCAUUUACCAAGGAUGUUUUCAUUG